rnacentral:rRNA from 1 species
UGGGGAAUAUUGCACAAUGGGCGAAAGCCUGAUGCAGCAACGCCGCGUGAGUGAUAAAGGCCUUCGGGUUGUAAAGCUCUGUCUUCUGGGACGAUAAUGACGGUACCAGAGGAGGAAGCCACGGCUAACUACGUGCCAGCAGCCGCGGUAAUACGUAGGUGGCAAGCGUUGUCCGGAUUUACUGGGCGUAAAGGAUGCGUAGGCGGAUACUUAAGUCAGAUGUGAAAAUCCCGGGCUUAACUUGGGAACUGCAUUUGAAACUGGGUAUCUAGAGUGCGGGAGAGGAAAGUGGAAUUCCUAGUGUAGCGGUGAAAUGCGUAGAGAUUAGGAAGAACACCAGUGGCGAAGGCGACUUUCUGGACCGUAACUGACGCUGAGGCAUGAAAGCGUGGGGAGCAAACA